GAAGGGAGCCGGGAUCAGCCAGGGGCCAGCAUGAGCCGGAGGGAGGGAAGUCUGGUUGGAAUGGGACAGACCCUGAUGGGGUCAGGAACAAAGAGCCAGCGUGGGAGAGGUGAUCAAUGAGCAGGAGGUUGGCCAUCCUCAUUCCUCCCCCCUUUCCCACCAGAAGACCCCCAGACUGAUUCCUCAGUCUCACUUCUUCCCCACUUGGAGGCCAAGAUCCGUCAGACACACAGCCUUGCGCACCUCCUCACCAAAUACGCUGAGCAGCUGCUCCAGGAAUAUGUGCAGCUCCAGGGAGACCCCUUCGGGCUGCCCAGCUUCUCGCCGCCGCGGCUGCCGGUGGCCGGCCUGAGCGCCCCGGCUCCGAGCCACGCGGGGCUGCCAGUGCACGAGCGGCUGCGGCUGGACGCGGCGGCGCUGGCCGCGCUGCCCCCGCUGCUGGACGCAGUGUGUCGCCGCCAGGCCGAGCUGAACCCGCGCGCGCCGCGCCUGCUGCGCCGCCUGGAGGACGCGGCGCGCCAGGCCCGGGCCCUGGGCGCCGCCGUGGAGGCCUUGCUGGCCGCGCUGGGCGCCGCCAACCGCGGGCCCCGGGCCGAGCCCCCCGCCGCCACCGCCUCAGCCGCCUCCGCCACCGGGGUCUUCCCCGCCAAGGUGCUGGGGCUCCGCGUUUGCGGCCUCUACCGCGAGUGGCUGAGCCGCACCGAGGGCGACCUGGGCCAGCUGCUGCCCGGGGGCUCGGCCUGAGCGCCGCGGGGCAGCUCGCCCCGCCUCCUCCCGCUGGGUUCCGUCUCUCCUUCCGCUUCUUUGUCUUUCUCUGCCGCUGUCGGUGUCUGUCUGUCUGCUCUUAGCUGUCUCCAUUGCCUCGGCCUUCUUUGCUUUUUGUGGGGGAGAGGGGAGGGGACGGGCAGGGUCUCUGUCGCCCAGGCUGGGGUGCAGUGGCGCGAUCCCAGCACUGCAGCCUCAACCUCCUGGGCUCAAGCCAUCCUUCCGCCUCAGCUUCCCCAGCAGCUGGGACUACAGGCACGCGCCACCACAGCCGGCUAAUUUUUUAUUUAAUUUUUUGUAGAGACGAGGUUUCGCCAUGUUGCCCAGGCUGGUCUUGAACUCCGGGGCUCAAGCGAUCCUCCCGCUUCAGCCUCCCUAAGUGCUGGGAUUGCAGGCGUGAGCCACUUUCCCAGCCUCUCUUUGCUUUGCCUGCCCCGUUCUCUUAACUCUUGGACCCUCCUCGUCUGCAUGGUAACUCCGUCUGAGUCUACCAUUUUCUUGCUCUCCCUCCUUCCUUGGGCCUGCCUCAGUUCCCUUUGGCCUCCCCCUUUACCCAGCUCUUGGGGUGUCUCUGUUUUUUCCAUCCCCACUUCCUGCCUUCUCGUGGCCCUGUGUGAGCACAUGUGUACAUCUCAGCCUUAUCUCAAGGAGGUGACACCUUCUCUCCUUGUCCCCAUCUGGCUGUCUCUCUGUGCUUCCCUGGCCAGGGGCGUGCCUGCUGGUCCUAUGGGGGGAAGGCUACUCUGCAUCUCAGCCACCUUCCUCAGGCUCACUCCACCUACAUCCCCAGUCUGCCACACCCCAUCCCUUUGGGCCUCAGCCCUGUCCCUUUGAUGUCCUCCUUUCCUUCAGCCCCUCUGCCCUGUCCCUGCACACCUCCACUGCCUCCCAGCAGAUCUGUGGAGACAAAACAAGCAACACCUUAAAAGAGUUUUAUUUCUGAAAAUAAAUUAAUUUUUUGUAAAUAAAAUGUUUAAAAAUAAAAAAGAAACUAAAGUUA